GUGGGUGUAGCUCAGUGGUAGAGCACAUGCUUAGCAUGCACGAGGCCCUGGGUUCAAUCCCCAAUCCCUCCA
rnacentral:tRNA from 1 species